AACGAACGCUGGCGGCAGGCUCAACACAUGCAAGUCGAACGGGUGCAGCAAUGCAUCAGUGGCAGACGGGUGCAAAACGCGUGGAAACCUAUCCUUGGGUUCGGAAUAACCGCGGGAAACUGCGGCUAAUACCGGAUACGUCCUUCGGGAGAAAGAUUUAUCGCCCAUUGAGGGGUCCGCGUCUGAUUAGCUAGUUGGUGAGGUAAUGGCUCACCAAGGCGACGAUCAGUAGCUGGUCUGAGAGGAUGAUCAGCCACACUGGAACUGAGACACGGUCCAGACUCCUACGGGAGGCAGCAGUGGG
rnacentral:rRNA from 1 species